CUAAUACCGAAUAAGUUCCAAGAGCCGCAUGGCCCAUGGAAGAAAAGGUGGCCUCUACCUGUAAGCUAUCGCCUGAAGAGGGGUUUGCGUCUGAUUAGCUGGUUGGAGGGGUAACGGCCCACCAAGGCGACGAUCAGUAGCCGGUCUGAGAGGAUGAACGGCCACACUGGAACUGAGACACGGUCCAGACUCCUACGGGAGGCAGCAGUGGGGAAUCUUCCGCAAUGGGCGAAAGCCUGACGGAGCAACGCCGCGUGAGUGAUGACGGCCUUCGGGUUGUAAAACUCUGUGAUCCGGGACGAAAAGGCAGAGUGCGAAGAACAAACUGCAUUGACGGUACCGGAAAAGCAAGCCACGGCUAACUACGUGCCAGCAGCCGCGGUAAUACGUAGGUGGCGAGCGUUGUCCGGAAUUAUUGGGCGUAAAGCGCGCGCAGGCGGCUUCCCAAGUCCCUCUUAAAAGUGCGGGGCUUAACCCCGUGAUGGGAAGGAAACUGGGAAGCUGGAGUAUCGGAGAGGAAAGUGGAAUUCCUAGUGUAGCGGUGAAAUGCGUAGAGAUUAGGAAGAACACCGGUGGCGAAGGCGACUUUCUGGACGAAAACUGACGCUGAGGCGCGAAAGCGUGGGGAGCAAACAGGAUUAGAUACCCUGGUAGUCCACGCCGUAAACGAUGGAUACUAGGUGUAGGAGGUAUCGACCCCUCCUGUGCCGG
rnacentral:rRNA from 1 species